AUUAAAUCUUGUGUCUGUCCAAGCCAUCACCAGUUAAGUCCUAAAGCUUCUGAAUAAAGCUGAACAGACAGUAAAGACCAGGAAAUCCCUGCUGUGUGCUGGAGGAGGCAUUGAGAAGUGCUAAGAUGUGAAGUCUCAACCAGUAGUACUGUGAAACCUGCUCAUCAGGAGUGUGUGUAUGUAAAUGAGAUUGAUUGGGUCACGAGAUCAGAGAAUCUGGCCUGUCUGAAAUCUUCAGUAACUUAAUGACUUGAGCAGACAAUGGUGCAGAUAAAGUCCAAAGGCGAUAUUCUGAAGAAGGUGCUGUUGCUCAUGGAGACAGACCAUUUUGUGUUAUUUAAGCCUUCAACUAACUGGAUGAUGUCUACCAAUUUUAAUGGGGGUAAUUUGUUUUAUUUAGUGGUCACUGGUUUAAAUGAAAUUCUAUCCAAAAUACCUUCCAACCUGCCAUAUGGAAUUAGCCAUCAUAGAUACUAACUCAAAAUGAGUCCCC
rnacentral:lncRNA from 1 species